UACGUAGGGAGCAAGCGUUGUCCGGAAUCAUUGGGCGUAAAGAGCGCGUAGGUGGCUUUAUAAGUCCGUUGUGAAAGUCAAAGGCUCAACCUUUGAAAGCCGAUGGAUACUGUGAAGCUAGAGUACGGAAGAGGCGAGUGGAAUUCCUGGUGUAGCGGUGGAAUGCGCAGAUAUCAGGAGGAACACCAAUAGCGAAGGCAGCUCGCUGGGAGGUUACUGACACUGAGGCGCGAAAGCGUGGGGAGCGAACAGG
rnacentral:rRNA from 1 species